rnacentral:rRNA from 1 species
CCUACGGGAGGCAGCAGUGGGGAAUAUUGCACAAUGGGGGAAACCCUGAUGCAGCAACGCCGCGUGAGCGAAAAAGGCGUUCGGGUCGUAAAGGUCUGUCCUAAGGGAAGAAUACUGACGGUACCUUAGGGGGAAGGCCCGAUUAACUACGUGCCAGCAGCCGCGGUAAUACGUAGGGGGCUAGCGUUAUCCGGAAUUACUGGGGGUAAAGGGUGCGUAGGCGGCCCUGCAAGUCAGAGCCGAAAGUGUACGGCUCAACUGUAGUAAGCCUUUGAAACUGUAGGGCUUGAGUGCAGUAGAGGAGAGUGGAAUUCCCAGUGUAGCGGUGAAAUGCGUAGAUAUUGUGAGGAACACCAGUUGCGAAGGCGGCUCUCUGGACUGUAACUGACGCUGAGGCACGAAAGCGUGGGGAGCGAACAGGAUUAGAUACCCGGGUAGUC